rnacentral:rRNA from 1 species
UGGGGGCACCCUGAUCAGCCAUGCCGCGUGUGUGAAGAAGGCUUUCGGGUUGUAAAGCACUUUCAGCAAGGAGGAAGGCCUUGAAGUUAAUACCUUCAAGGAUUGACGUUACUUGCAGAAGAAGCACCGGCUAACUCCGUGCCAGCAGCCGCGGUAAUACGGAGGGUGCAAGCGUUAAUCGGAAUUACUGGGCGUAAAGCGCGCGUAGGUGGUUCGAUAAGCGAGAUGUGAAAGCCCCGGGCUCAACCUGGGAACGGCAUUUCGAACUGUCGGGCUAGAGUAUGGUAGAGGGUAGUGGAAUUUCCUGUGUAGCGGUGAAAUGCGUAGAUAUAGGAAGGAACACCAGUGGCGAAGGCGGCUACCUGGACCAAUACUGACACUGAGGUGCGAAAGCGUGGGUAGCAAACAGGAUUAGAUACCCUGGUAGUCCACGCCGUAAACGAUGUCAACUAGCCGUUGGGACUCUUGAAGUCUUAGUGGCGCAGCUAACGCACUAAGUUGACCGCCUGGGGAGUACGGCCGCAAGGUUAAAACUCAAAUGAAUUGACGGGGGCCCGCACAAGCGGUGGAGCAUGUGGUUUAAUUCGACGCAACGCGAAGAACCUUACCUGGCCUUGACAUCCAGAGAACUUUCCAGAGAUGGAUUGGUGCCUUCGGGAACUCUGAGACAGGUGCUGCAUGGCCGUCGUCAGCUCGUGUCGUGAGAUGUUGGGUUAAGUCCCGUAACGAGCGCAACCCCUAUCCCUGGUUGCUAGCAGGUAAUGCUGAGAACUCCAGGGAGACUGCCGGUGACAAACCGGAGGAAGGGUGGGGAUGACGUCAGGUCAUCAUGGCCCUUA